rnacentral:misc_RNA from 1 species
UUUCCGUAGGUGAACCUGCGGAAGGAUCAUUAUUGUAUAACCGAGUAUCGAGGGCUGUCGCUGACACGAAAGGUCUUGCACGCCCGAGUGCCCUGACACACAUCCAUCUCACCCCUAUGUGCACCACCACGUAUAUCCCACUUUGGCGUGUUCGGAGUAGGAUUUACGAUUUCACACAAAAUAUAUCUGCCAUGAAGAAUGUAUUUUUUGUUUUUGCGAACGCACAAUCCAUACAACUUUCAACACAGGAUCUCUUGGUUCUCGCAUCGCUGACGAACG